UUCUUUAAGACAAAUAUUUAAAGUAAUGUCUGCUCAAUGCUCUGUAAAUAGCUGCAGGUGACUGUACUAAGGUAGCAUAAUAAUUAGAUUAUUAAUUGUAAUCAAGAAUAAAUGACAAAAUGAAUAAUAUUCUUUAUUCCUAAAAUUUUUCUAAUCUUAUAUUUUCGUAAAAAAGCAAAAAUUUAAUUUAGGGACAAGAAGACCCUAAGAAGCUUUAAAUUUUUAAAAUAUAUAUUUUAAAAAAUUUUUUGUUGGGGCAACAUUUUUUUAAAGAAAUAUUUUAUAAAGCCAAGAUUCUUGAAAAAAAGAAAAAGUUACUCUAGGGAUAACAGCAUAAUAAAAGAUAAAGAGACCUAAUCUUCAUCUUUGAUUGUGACCUCGAUGUUGGAUCAAUUUUUCUAAAAGGUGAAAAAAUCUUUUAAGAAAGUCUGUUCGACUUUUAAUAAAUUACG
rnacentral:rRNA from 1 species